UUAACGCUAGCGGCAGGCAUAUACAUGCAAGUUGAACGGGAUAAGUUUUAGCAAUAGAACUUUGAGAGUGGCGCACGGGUGCGUAACACGUAUGCAACCUGCCCCAAACAGGAGGAUAGCCUCUCGAAAAGAGAGAUUAAUACUCCAUAAUAAUAUUGUUAGGCAUCUAAUGAUAUUUAAAGCUGAGGCGGUUUGGGAUGGGCAUGCGGUUGAUUAGGUAGUUGGUGAGGUAACGGCUCACCAAGCCAACGAUGUCUAGGGGGUCUGAGAGGAUGUCCCCCCACACUGGUACUGAGACACGGACCAGACUCCUACGGGAGGCAGCAGUAGGGAAUAUUGGUCAAUGGAGGCAACUCUGAACCAGCCAUGCCGCGUGCAGGACUAAGGCCCUAUGGGUCGUAAACUGCUUUUUGAAUGGGAAGAAAUGUAUCUACGUGUAGAUAUUUGACGGUACCAUUAGAAUAAGGAUCGGCUAACUUCGUG
rnacentral:rRNA from 1 species